rnacentral:lncRNA from 1 species
CUUUUCGAGGUAGGAGUCGACUCCUGUGAGGUAUGGUGCUGGGUGCAGAUGCAGUGUGGCUCUGGAUAGCACCUUAUGGACAGUUGUGUCCCCAAGGAAGGAUGAGAAUAGCUACUGAAGUCCUAAAGAGCAAGCCUAACUCAAGCCAUUGGCACACAGGCAUUAGACAGAAAGCUGGAAGUUGAAAUGGUGGAGUCCAACUUGCCUGGACCAGCUUAAUGGUUCUGGUAUGGAGAGUCGGCUUGACUACACUGUGUGGAGCAAGUUUUAAAGAAGCAAAGGACUCAGAAUUCAUGAUUGAAGAAAUGCAGGGUUUUUAAUGACCACAACAAGCAAGCAUGCAGCUUACUGCUUGAAAGGGUCUUGCCUCACCCAAGCUAGAGUGCAGUGGCCUUUGAAGCUUACUACAGCCUCAAACUUCUGGGCUCAAGUGAUCCUCAGCCUCCCAGUGGUCUUUGUAGACUGCCUGAUGGAGUCUCAUGGCACAAGAAGAUUAAAACAGUGUCUCCAAUUUUAAUAAAUUUUUGCAAUCCA